rnacentral:lncRNA from 1 species
UCAACAAAGACCCAAGCAUUCUGUUAAACAAUGAGGAUACUCCAUGGUUACGGCAGGAUCAUAACCAAGGGUCAUACGUCAAGAAGAAGUUCACUGUUGUGUCGGCUUGACUUUGUAUGAAACUAUAUUUGAGAAUUGUGAAUUUUCAUGUGUGUAACAAACUUUGUAUUCAUGACUUUGUAUUCAUGACUUUUCCAAUUGUUAG